UGUUGAUGUCCAGGAUCGAUAAUGAAACUUUCUGAUGUCUUACACACCUUUAUCUCUGCUGAAUGCCCCGGAUCUCUCAGAGGCAAGGCAGAAGCAGCUGAUGAAGUGGUCACAGUCCCCUAAGAGGAGGCCAGUGGGUGGAAUUCCCAACAACUCCAGCUCUGAAGUUUGGAAGACAAACGACUUGGGUUUCGGACGAAUGGGAGUGUCAAGUUAUUCCAGCCUGAUGAGAUAACAGCUCAGAGGAUCACGAGGAAUCGAUUCCUCCAGAAGAGGAAAGCCAGCUGGCACAGGAGCUCCGCAGGGCCUUCUGCUAAAGGGAAAAAAGUGAUUGGCAGCCCUGAGCCCAUUGGUAGGGCUUAUGGACUGUGAGCAUCUCUGUAAGGAGUCUGGCUGGGCCAGAUCCUGGGGGACCCUGGAUUUCAGAAUCCUGAGAUCCCGCAGUGAAGUCUCUCUGAAGGUCUUACGUGAAGCAUACAAACCUGGCUGCCAGUGUGACACGUUCACAGUGCAUCUUGAAGAGAGGAGUCAACUAUGUUAAAGAGUACAUCUUUAGAAACCUUUGUAGCUACACCUUGGCCCAGCAAUUUAUAUUCUAUUCUGGCCACUGUGCUUAGGAGAGCUUAUGGCCAGAAAGACCACAAUCUAAGUACAGAAAAGCUUUCUGGAUGUAAUCCACAGGAGGCAUCGAAGUCAAUUCAGCAAACUCUUUCUGUUUUCUCUGCUCCCAUUUGCCAUAGUGCCUGGAGUUUUGAGACUUCUAGAAAACUGCAUGAUUGAAAAGAAGUCAUCCUGCUACACUCAGCUACCUUAGAGAGAGACAGUUGGGUCUGGAAGGUUGUUCAGUGCGCAGUGAAAAUGCAAACAUUUCUGGACUAAAUUGUUGUCAACUCCUAUUCUGGGUAAUUAAAGAGAACAAGAGGCUGGUUCUCUGCAUAUUUUCACAACCUAGAGCGGACAAAGGAAAGGAUCACGUAUGCAAACAUAAUUCAGUGUGGUAAGUACAGGCAUACCUCCCUUUAAUGUGCUUGACUUUAUUGCACUUCACAGAUACAUAUUCUAACAAAUGGAAGGUUUGUGGGAACCCGGGAUCAAACAAGCCUAUCAGUGCCAUUUUUCCAAUAGCAUUUGCUCAUUUCAUGUCUAUGUCACAUUUUGGUAAUUCUUGCAAUAUUUCAAACUUUCUUCAUUUUACAUUUUGGUGAUCUGUGAUUGCUGAUGUUCCCGCUGUAAUUGUUUUGGGGCGCCAUGAACUGUACCCAUAUAAGAUGGCGAACUUAAUCGAUACAUGACAUGCGUAUUCUGACUGUUCAGUUCCCUCUCUCCCUCUCCUCCAGCCUCCCUAUUCCCUGAGACACAGUAUGAAAUUGGGCCAAUUAAUAACCCUACAGUGGCCUCUAAGUGUUCAAGGGAAACGAAGAGUGAGUUGCAGGUUUCUCAUUUGAAAUGUGGUGGUAUGAGAUGAUAAAAAUGCCAACACGAUGAGGUGCAGUGGGGUGAAUGAUGUAGGCAUGGCCACAUAGCAUUAGGCUACUAUUGACCUUCUGAGGACAGUCAAGAGGAGGAUCAUCUGAAUCUGGACUGUGGCUGACCAAGGGUAACUGACACUGUGAAAUGCACAACUCUGGAUGAGCGGGGACUACUGUGCUGGCUCCGUGCUGCAGAAGAGAAAACUUCCUAGGCUUACAUGGUAAGGAACUUGCUCAAAACCACAAAGCUAUUAAGAAGCAGAACUGAGAACUAAACUUGGGGGGGGGGGCGUUGGUGUGGCACCACAGCCCCCGGUAUAUGUCACUGACAAAAACUAUUUAAUAAGGACUACAGACUAAAAGAUCUAAAUGGGUAAAAACAACGAGCUUACAAUGGGCUUAUCUGUGUCUGAGAUUUGGGAAACAUUUAAACAGUAUAACAAUUGGUUUCUUCAUUACUGAGGUGGUAAGAUUUGUGGCUGUAUUAAUUCUGGCAGUGCAGUUCCUUCUUAAAGCAAUUCAGAAAGACACUGCUGAGUUCUUUGACAG